AGUUUCACUCAGUAUGGAAUUCCUGGAUGAGAAUUUUUAUAUUAUAGCCCUUGAAAAUUUUUUAUUUGUAGAAACACCAGGAGAAGCAGAAACCAGCCUUGCAAGCAGCACUAAGAUAAUGCAUUACCCAACUUUACUGGAAAAUGUCAGGGGCCAGGAUACUGUCUCAUCUGACGUAAUUCCUCCCAAUUUUGAAACACCAGGAGAAGCAGAAACCAGCCUUGCAAGCAGCACUAAGAUAAUGCAUUACCCAACUUUACUGGAAAAUGUCAGGGGCCAGGAUACUGUCUCAUCUGACGUAAUUCCUCCCAAUUUUGGUGAGUUUGAAAUGAUAUACAUUGCAAGUAGCACUGUUUCAUCUAGAUUCCUUAAUGCAG
rnacentral:lncRNA from 1 species